rnacentral:rRNA from 1 species
GAUGAACGCUGGCGGCGUGCCUAAUACAUGCAAGUCGAACGCAUAGCGAAAGGUGCUUGCACCUUUCAAGUGAGUGGCGAACGGGUGAGUAACACGUGGACAACCUGCCUCAAGGCUGGGGAUAACAUUUGGAAACAGAUGCUAAUACCGAAUAAAACUUAGUGUCGCAUGACACAAAGUUAAAAGGCGCUUCGGCGUCACCUAGAGAUGGAUCCGCGGUGCAUUAGUUAGUUGGUGGGGUAAAGGCCUACCAAGACAAUGAUGCAUAGCCGAGUUGAGAGACUGAUCGGCCACAUUGGGACUGAGACACGGCCCAAACUCCUACGGGAGGCUGCAGUAGGGAAUCUUCCACGAUGGGCGAAAGCCUGAUGGAGCAACGCCGCGUGUGUGAUGAAGGCGUUCGGGUCGUAAAGCACUGUUGUAUGGGAAGAACAGCUAGAAUAGGAAAUGAUUUUAGUUUGACGGUACCAGACCAGAAAGGGACGGCUAAAUACGUG